GAUGAACGCUGACAGAAUGCUUAACACAUGCAAGUCCACUUGAAUUUGGGUUUUUAACUUCGGUUUGGGUGGCGGACGGGUGAGUAACGCGUAAAGAACUUGCCUCACAGCUAGGGACAACAUUUGGAAACGAAUGCUAAUACCUAAUAUUAUGAUAAUAGGGCAUCCUAUAAUUAUGAAAGCUAUAAGCGCUGUGAGAGAGCUUUGCGUCCCAUUAGCUAGUUGGAGAGGUAACGGCUCACCAAGGCAAUGAUGGGUAGCCGGCCUGAGAGGGUGAUCGGCCACAAGGGGACUGAGACACGGCCCUUACUCCUACGGGAGGCAGCAGUGGGGAAUAUUGGACAAUGGACCGAGAGUCUGAUCCAGCAAUUCUGUGUGCACGAUGAAGUUUUUCGGAAUGUAAAGUGCUUUCAGUUGGGAAGAAACAAAUGACGGUACCAACAGAAGAAGUGACGGCUAAAUACGU
rnacentral:rRNA from 1 species